ensembl:lncRNA
CUUGGUCUUGCAAUCAUAGCAGAUACAGGAAAAUAUGUUUGAUUUUCUGGCUACAUUCCUAAGAUGGUUAAACAUCCUUGGACAGAAGGAUACAUGAAUGGCUUUCAUUCUUCUUGCUUUCUUAAAAACUGAGAAAUCUAUUAACCAAACAGUCUGGAACAGCCAGUCAUAAAGUACUGAAGACCAAAUUCACCAACAUUAUAUUUGAGGAUGGAACUCAGACCAGUUUGGACUCACAAUUGGAUGCGUAAGGCCACAUUCUUGUAUUCAGGAACGCUUCUGUAACAGAAAGGGCUGGAGAUGCUCUUUCUCUCUCUUGUACUGCAUUGAAGAGCCUAUAAAGGUCAGGAAGCAAUAGAAAAUACAGGUGUGCAUCCUGCUGAGUGGACAAGAGCAUGAAGUAAGCCUUUCCCUGCUUCCAGGAUGAGUGUUCGAACUGUAUCCCCAGCAGAAAUUGCUCAUCUAGAUGUCAUAAGAUAAGAUAGAUGGAAUGAUUUUCAGCAUUGCUCAUGUACCUUGGGCAUGGAAGGUGGGCUUCAAGGUAAAAGUAUAUCUGCUCAGUAUCUUCUCAUCUGCAAGGCUGACAUGUGCCACUUGGAGGACAAAAGUGACUUCAGGAAGGACUGACAGCUAAACACUAAUUUUCAAAAAUCAAAGCCUUAAGCCUGCAUGCCAUAUUCUUAUGCUGACAAGUCACUGACAGAGUAUCAAGAAAUGGAGGCCACAAGAAACCUACCAAAUUCCCUGCAGAAGAUACCUGGGACAUAAUCGGAAUGAGGGGCUAUCACCAAAAGGUUGACAUUCCAAAGUGUUGAGCUCUACGGAUUUCCACAUCUGACUAUGGAAGCUGGAGACCUGUGAGAACCAGAUUUACAUUUACAUGUCUAAGAGCAGUCAUUUUCACACCUCUGGUGAAAUAUGGUUUCAGUGAAAUCAAGGACAAGUGUCACUUUUGGCUCAAUGGGACCAGGAUUCUUCAGCAAGAGAAAAAGUCUUUUGGACCCCAGGAGAUGAUAUACCCUGGAGCUGCUGGUCAUGCAGACUGUGAAAACUUUGUUUUGUGCUCUGAGAGGACCCACUGUUGUGACUUAAAUUGAAGAGGUGGGAAUAAACUUCUCAAGGAGGCACCCGGAUCAUCACUCACAUUUCAGCACAUGUAGGAAGAAGUGGAGGAAACAGUUACCAGAGAUAUCUGAGUAAUGGUGUUAAUCACACAGACUAAAGAGGUUGAAAGAAAGAUUCAGCACAUCCAGAACUGCAAAGAGAGCUGCAGCAGGGAACAUCAGCAAGGACCAUAUAUUUCAAACAGAAGCUGCCCUCUUUACUGUUUUUUUUAAAUAAAAGAUAUAUGGUUGAUCCAAAUGUGAAUGAUAUAUAUAGCAGAUGAACCCAGCAGUGUUUGUCGCUGAGUAUGUGAGGAAAGUGCUACCUUGGGAAAAUUGAACUAAACAAGAAAGUUAAAGAUUAAUAAUUAUUUUCCAUUUUGUGCUGUUUCCUUUCUUACUUUCAAGUUUGCUUGUAUUUUAAAGAUAGUGGAAUUUGAAAACUGCAACAGCCUCUAAAAACCGUUCUUGUUUGGGGGAAAAAAAGAGGAGAAAAGAUCUUUUCCAUCUGUCCAAGCAGGCCUAAAGACAUAAAUGUCUU